rnacentral:rRNA from 1 species
AUUGAACGCUGGCGGCAUGCCUUACACAUGCAAGUCGAACGGUAACGGGCCUUCGGGUGCCGACGAGUGGCGAACGGGUGAGUAAUACAUCGGAACGUGCCCGAUCGUGGGGGAUAACGAGGCGAAAGCUUUGCUAAUACCGCAUACGAUCUACGGAUGAAAGCAGGGGACCGCAAGGCCUUGCGCGGACGGAGCGGCCGAUGGCAGAUUAGGUAGGUGGUGGGAUAAAAGCUUACCAAGCCGACGAUCUGUAGCUGGUCUGAGAGGAUGAGCAGCCACACUGAGACUGAGACACGGCCCAGACUCCUACGGGAGGCAGCAGUGGGAAUUUUGGACAAUGGGCGCAAGCCUGAUCCAGCCAUGCCGCGUGCAGGAUGAAGGCCUUCGGGUUGUAAACUGCUUUUGUACGGAACGAAAAGCCUUCUUUUAAUACAGGAGGGUCAUGACGGUACCGUAAGAAUAAGCACCGGCUAACUACGUG